UACAGCCACACCAUAUUGAAAAACUGGUUCCCAUAGGAUUACCAAAGUUAAGCAAUGUUGAGCAUGGUCAGUACCAAGAUAGGUGACCACUUGGAAAUACCAGUCGCUGUAAG